UUUGUGUGUUUUGAUAUCAAAAAGCAUUUUUCAUAGAAAAACAAAGCAAAGAGAAAAAUACGUCGUGAGUCGUUGGGGUACGGUUUUAACCCGGUUUUCAUCAAGCAAUACUCAUUUCAUACAAAUAAAAAAUAGAUAUUUCCAUUGAUUGUAAACUAAACAGUCCAAUUAAAGAUUGUCUCGGGGGAACCAAGGCGGUGACGCGAUUCGGUUUUACUACAGAAAUCAGAUUUCCAGGGCCGUAUUUAAUAACGAGCAAAGCGAGGUACUUGCCUCAGUAACAAUUUUGAAUUUAUUUAUAUUAUUUAUUCCAAGUUCUCGUUAUAGGCUGCGCAUUACAAAAAUAAAUCAAUGUGAAACAAGAGUUUUUUUUGCUGAUAUUGCCUUGGAAAAAAAAAUUUUACUCUGGCUAAGGUCGUCAAUUUUGACACAGACUAACGCAUGGAAAACGAGCAUGAAACGCUUGUAAUUCACUUUCUCGCAAACUAACCAAAAAUUACUUUUGAUCAGUAAACUUAUAUCGACUCUAUGUUCCAAAAUUUAAAUUUUACACAAAGGUAAAUUAGACAGAGGAUUUCUAUGCAAAUACUACUUCGCUCCAAGUUUUCAAAAUGGCGGACAAUAUGCGAUGCGCACUGGACUAGCAAACGUUAACCGCAUUUUACACGGUAAAAUUCGAGAAAUGCUAUGGAAAUUUUAUUAGAUUAGCCAUACUCUUUUCCGUAGCUCUUGGAAAAUAAAUCAAUGACGAUAAGGUUCAGAAACGCCUCAGGUUCAUUGAACCUGCUGCCAGAAGCUUCUGUGUUGUCCCGUCUCCAUAACAGGGCACGUCUUCCCACCUGAACUAAAAGCGUCAUAACAAGCCGGGCCACCGCCUAGCAAUCCAAACUAAGGAACACUUUUGAAAAUCUCUAAGUUUUCAGUCAGCCUUUGCCACUUCUGUGCUCGUCAGUGUCGCAAAACAUACGAUGAUAAUUGCGUUCGCAGAAGAAGAAUUUACCGAGGUUGUAAAAUCGCCCCAAAGGGCCACAAAGAUUGAACUGAGAGGGAUGCGGACUCUUGCACUCUUUGAAAUCGGAGAUAAGUGGAAUGUUUAAAUCGCGUGUUUAUUUGUGUUUGUGCUCCGUUGAUUUGCCAUCAGCUGGCGAUGUACACGCAAUAGAUGCUAUUUUGAGGCUUUUGAUUUUGAUCUAAGGCCGAAGAGGGCACUCUGGUACCACGAUGGCAGCUCAUGGAAACUGAAGGUUAGCCCCUGUACUUGGUUUACUUACUGAUAUUUCUUGUAAUUCAAUAAACGUUCAUAGCAAUAUACUGAACAUCGAAAGAGUUGACGUAUUUUGCUUUUACUGACUUUUUGAUUGUGAUCUAAGGCAAGAAGGCUCUCAACGAUAUAGUAGCUCAUGGAAAGUGAAGGUUAGCCCCUGCACUUUAUUCGAUAUUUCUUGUAAUUCAAUAAACGUUCAUGGCUUGCAUUGCGAUUUAUACUGAACAUCGAAAGAAUUCACAACGUUAAAACUAACUUUGUUUCCUUUAUUAGCCUACUCACAGGUGAUGUUAUAGCCAUACUCUCACACUUGUCUAAACGUGCGAGCUACCUGAACUUUGAAGAGUGAUCCAUGGAAAAUUUUAGGAUUAUCAACUUGCCAUUUAGCUAUAGGAACACAGCCGGAUUUCACCUGUUGUCUUCUUUAGUACCCAUUAGAGGCAAUCAACUAGCUAACCGUUGAGAAUUGAAAUAAUUCAAUAUCCUGAAUACAUAGGAAGUGCCGGCAAAAGUUUGAUUUUGUAGAGUAAUAUCAACACGUAUUUUUGACAUGUACAACACUGUCCACUACAGUUCUGAUGUAAGCCAAGUUAUUCUUCCAAAACGCUCUAUUUGUUUACUGUUUUCAUCCAGAUCUGUCUAGUAUACCUUCUAACGAAUUUCUGAUACCAUUUUUCUGCAUUUUUCGUUCGUCUUGAAGAUAUUUCUUCAGUUUUCUUUUCUUGAUUUCAACUAUAUUUGAAUGCUAUUGUCCAUGGGAUGCAUCUUGCUAUAUUGCAGGAUGAUAUCUUAAAUCAAUUGUGUUUUUUUUUUCUUUUUAAUCGUCUUGUAGAAUAUAUAUCUAUUCUUUGACUGACUUAUCCCAAGAGUCUUCUUUUCCAGUGCUGUUUGGCUGCUUCAGUUAACGUUGGUAACUUAUUUAAUCAAGAUUUUCUGGCUGUCUUCAUAAGAAAUAAUAUUCACAUCACUACGCCAGGGUUGUCUCAAGUGAUAAACUGUAUCAUUAACCGUCCUCCUUCCGUUAACGGUCUUGGUCUCGGCUAUAGUCGCUCAAUAUUAUUGAAGUUUUAGUUAUGAUGAUUUUACCGGUUCAGUGAAGUCUCUGCCUGUUGGACCACACGGUUCAACUUUUCUGCUUUCCAGUGAAAUCCCGUUGAAAUGCUAUUAGUCAGGUGAAGCUUAAGCGAAGCUAUUUUAAACUCUUCUGUUCACUGUAUGUUCCAGCAGAACUUUUACGGUUGAUAGAUCUGACAUGAUGACACGGGUAUUGCAACCGCUCUACUACACUACAGGCUGUUUUAUUCUCAUUCAGAUGGCGUUUAUCUAAGCGACGCAAAAUUGGCACUAUAUUUGUAAAGCGCAAUUCUGCCACACGCCAAGUCUCCCUCCUUAUUGACCUUGUUCGCAAAAGGGAUUCCCUGCUCGUCCAUUCUGUUCUCUAAAGAUUGUUGUGUAUCUGACACCCAUUGCAAUGUAAAGUUUAUACCACCAUGAUCUUGUUUUCUCAUUUUGUAAGUUCCCGAUCAAUCUUCAUCACCCGAAUCAUUCAGACCGGCUGACAAAAUUUGUCAGUUAAAGUCGCAAACAUUACUUAUCUUUUCUCCGCUAAGUUCAGUGUCGAUUUAGUAAAGGUUUGUUCGUUUAUGCGUUCUGCGGCGUUCCGAGAAUUUGUCAAUCAGUCAAAUUCCAGUCAAAACUUGCUAGCACAAUUCUGUCACAAAAUUGAAUCGAAGUGCAAUAUUGAAAAGAAAGCUGUUCUUGUACUAUUGUUAAGUGCUAAUGCCACGUGUUGACGUAUUUAGAAUUGAUAUCCGUAAAAAAAAUUACACUCAAAGACAUGCAUGAGCUAUUUAUGAGCAUAUAAACUGUAUUUUAACCGUGAUUCGUCUUAAAUUUCUUUCUUUUCAGUAGUGCCAAACGUACAGGAACUGUUCCUCUGUUGCUUAGCUGCUAAAGGAUAUAUAUCAACCCGAUUGCAACUUCCGAAUCAACCUGCAAGGGCCGAUCCCAAGCAAAGCAAAGUCCGCGCUCAGCGCGACUGAACGACUGAACCACGGUAAUUAAAGGUGAUCUGACUACCUAGGAAAAUGAUUCCACGCAAAACGUUAUAUAUAGUUGAGGUUUUUCCGUUUUAGUAAAUCGAAAAAGUCUAAAAUAACAGAAUCCGUUAUCAACUCAACUGAACUGAAGAUCAUCCUCUACGGACAAGCUUACAAAGUUUAGAAGUAAAAACGGUCGAAAUGCAUUCAACUCUAGGCAUAGUAGCUUGUAGUCUCUGUUCUCUGAUGCGUAAAAACCGUUACCAGAUAAAAGUACUACUCGCUAAUAGCCGUCUUGAGUGGCUACCGGCACACUAGGGAUUUUUCUACAUUCUUUAAACAUAGAACCACAUUGUACAGCCUAAAUAACAGUACCAAAUGAAAGUACUGUUCGACAGCUUCCAUUUAAGUGGUCACACACUGGGAUCGCUCCCGCGCACACCUAAAGUUAAUUAGGAUGCGUAAUAAACAGUGCAUUAAUUGGUAACACAGAAGUUUUCUUGCACAGAUCACUCGGCUUAAAAGGUACACCAAAAUAUGCAUUGCCGCAUGAAAGUCCUUCUCAGCUCAAUAGCUUUCAUUAAUAUGAACGAUCGCGCAUACGGGUUUCUUCAACCCACGUUAAGAGUCUGUUAAAUUAGACCCACCAUAAACGGCUCAACAAACUAUGACUAAUGGAAAAAUUGGUCCAAAGUUCAACAUGUUUCUUAUUUCUAUGUUUACAGAGAAUAUGACUAGGCUUUGGGGUGUAAAGCAUUUCAAGUUACACUGUUGAUAUUGUACCUGAGACUAAAAAAGAUAUAUGUAUGAGUGGAUAAUAUAUAGUAUUGGAUAAAGUUUGAACAGUUCAAGAAUUAAACUGCGAAUUUUUUUAAACCUUA
rnacentral:lncRNA from 1 species